rnacentral:tRNA from 3 species
UAGGAAGUAGUGUAGUGGAAGCGCUAAGAGUUUUGAUCUCUUGAGGAUGGGUUCGAAUCCCUUCUUCCUAA